rnacentral:misc_RNA from 1 species
GUGGACUCAUUUCCUGUCAAGUCUCACAAGAAGUUAGGAGCUGUAGACAAUGCUCCCACUGAUAUCCAACAGUGCCACAUUUGUUUGGCUGAGUAUGAGGAGGGAGACAAACUGAGGGUGCUCCCUUGCCGCCAUGAAUAUCACAUGCAUUGUAUCGAUAAAUGGCUUAAGGAAGUAAACCGGGUCUGCCCCGUUUGCAGGUGUAAUGUUUGUGAGAAUCCCGCGAUUGGUUCUGUAUCGAACUCAGAAGCUUCUUAACAAUGGUGUACUAAACUGUGUAAAUAUAGAACAGAUUUAGGUGAAAAUGUUGUACUGAAUUGUGUUAAUAUAAUAGCUGCA